UACGUAGGGUGCAAGCGUUGUCCGGAAUUAUUGGGCGUAAAGAGCUCGUAGGCGGUCUGUCGCGUCGGAUGUGAAAACCCGGGGCUUAACCCCGGGCCUGCAUUCGAUACGGGCAGACUCGAGUGUGGUAGGGGAGACUGGAACUCCUGGUGUAGCGGUGAAAUGCGCAGAUAUCAGGAAGAACACCGGUGGCGAAGGCGGGUCUCUGGGCCGGUACUGACGCUGAGACGCGAAAGCGUGGGGAGCGAACAGG
rnacentral:rRNA from 1 species